rnacentral:rRNA from 1 species
UUUAAAUGGCCGCAGUAUACUAACUGUGCAAAGGUAGCAUAAUCAUUAGUCUUUUAAUUGAAGGCUGGUAUGAAUGGUUGGACGAGAUACUAACUGUUUCAUAAAAAUUUAUAAUAGAAUUUUAUUUUUUAGUCAAAAAGCUAAAAUAUAUUUAAAAGACGAGAAGACCCUAUAAAUCUUUAUAUUUAAAUUAUUAUAAUUUUGAAGAUUUAUUUUGUUGUAAUAAUUAAUAAUAUUUUAUUGGGGUGAUAUUAAAAUUUAAUAAACUUUUAAUUUUAAAAUUCAUUAAUUUAUGAAUAAUUGAUCCAUUAAUAGUGAUUAAAAGAAUAAGUUACUUUAGGGAUAACAGCGUAAUUUUUUUGGAGAGUUCAUAUCGAUAAAAAAGAUUGCGACCUCGAUGUUGGAUUAAGAUAUAAUUUUAGGUGUAGCCGCUUAAAUUUUAAGUCU